AGAAAAACACCAAAAAAAAA
rnacentral:sRNA from 1 species